rnacentral:rRNA from 1 species
UGUGUAGGCGGUUCUUUAAGUUUGGUGUGAAAUCUCCCGGCUUAACCGGGAGGGUGCGCCGAAUACUGAGGAACUAGAGUGCGGGAGAGGAAAGUGGAAUUCCUGGUGUAGCGGUGAAAUGCGUAGAUAUCAGGAGGAACACCGGUGGUGUAGACGGCUUUCUGGACCGUAACUGACGCUGAAACACGAAAGCGUGGGUAGCAAACAGGAUUAGAUACCCUGGUAGUCCACGCCCUAAACGAUGCAUAUUUGGUGUGGGUCAUUCAGUUGAUCCGUGCCGGAGCUAACGCGUUAAAUAUGCCGCCUGGGGAGUACAGUCGCAAGGCUAGAA